rfam:Neotoma lepida isolate 417 scaffold_2172, whole genome shotgun sequence.
GGAGAGGUGGCUCAGUGGUUAAGAGCACCGGCUGCUCUUCCAGAGGAGCUGAGUUCAAUUCCCAGCACCUUCA